rnacentral:rRNA from 1 species
GUGGGGAAUAUUGGACAAUGGGCGCAAGCCUGAUCCAGCCAUGCCGCGUGUGUGAAGAAGGCCUUCGGGUUGUAAAGCACUUUUGUUGGGGAAGAAAAGCUACCGGUUAAUACCCGGGAGUUCUGACGGUACCCAAAGAAUAAGCACCGGCUAACUUCGUGCCAGCAGCCGCGGUAAUACGAAGGGUGCAAGCGUUACUCGGAAUUACUGGGCGUAAAGCGUGCGUAGGUGGUGAGUUAAGUCUGUCGUGAAAGCCCCGGGCUCAACCUGGGAAUGGCGAUGGAUACUGGCUCGCUAGAGUGCGGUAGAGGAGAGUGGAAUUCCCGGUGUAGCAGUGAAAUGCGUAGAGAUCGGGAGGAACAUCAGUUGCGAAGGCGGCUCUCUGGACCAGCACUGACACUGAGGCACGAAAGCGUGGGGAGCAAACAGGAUUAGAAACCCCGGUAGUCC